UUUAAAUACACUCUAUUUAAGAUAUUCAUAUUUUAUAGAUCGAGUAAGUGUAAGAAUUUUCAAGAUUUUGAAUUUUUUGGCUAGAAUUAAAAAGAGAGGCGAUGACAAAAGAAUAGAAAAACUUGAUAUAAAUGAGUUUCAAAUAAUCUCAAAUAAAUUCAGUAAUCUUGAUACAGACAACGAUUGCGUAUUAAAUAAGGAACAAUGCAUUACAUUGGUUGAAUCUAUUGGUUACUGUCAUUCUAGUAGUGGAUUCGUAGUAACACAGAACGAAAAUGACAAUGAAAAUCUCAAAAGUUCUGUAGUUAAUUUAAAGAAAGAAAUUUAUGAUGAAUAUAGCACACUAUACAAAUUAAGUGAUAUACUGAUAAAAGUAUUAUUCUACAAGGCACAACUGAACAAUAAACAAUUUGGUAAACGUUACAAUUUUGAACCCUCUUAUAAUGUAAUAUAUAAAAUUUCAAAAUUGCAUUCUCCAAAUGAUAUAUAUAUAUCUUAUUACGGAUUUUUUUAACUAUUAUUUAAAAUAUUCUACAAUUAUAAAAAAUUGUAAUCCCUACAUCCAAUAAUUUAUUGUAUUUCAUUAUUAUUAUUGCUUUAAGUUUAUUUAAAUUUUAUUUUCAAUUUAUUGUAGAUUCUGUGCCACUCUUGGUUUAUUUGUACUUGUAAUUGCCUAAAAUGAUCCGCCAAUCUUAUUAUUUGGACAGAAAUACCAAACGGUAUGUCUGUUAAAUGUCAUAAAUUCUUUUUGUCAUCUAUUUUAUUUGCAUAUCCUAAUAAUAUUUUUAAGUCACGUUAAAUAAAAAAAAAUUUGGUUUCGUCAA